rnacentral:rRNA from 1 species
AAACUCAAAGGAAUUGGCGGGGACCCGCACAAGCAGCGGAGCGUGUGGUUUAAUUCGAUGCAACGCGAAGAACCUUACCAGGGUUGGACAUGCACGCUGAGGGUCCAGAGAUGGGCCGGCCCGCAAGGGAGGCGUGCACAGGUGCUGCAUGGCUGUCGUCAGCUCGUGCCGUGAGGUGUUGGGUUAAGUCCCGCAACGAGCGCAACCCUCGCUCUCGGUUGGAAUGAUCCGAGGGGACUGCCGCGCACAACGCGGAGGAAGGUGGGGAUGACGUCAAGUCAGCAUGGCCCUGACAUCCUGGGCGACACACACGCUACAAUGGUCGGGACAGCGGGCAGCGACCCGGCGACGGGGAGCCAAUCCCUCAAACCCGAUCUCAGUGCAGAUUGCAGGCUGCAACCCGCCUGCAUGAAGGAGGAGUUGCUAGUAACCGCCGGUCAGCACACGGCGGUGAAUACGUUCUCGGGUCUU